GAGCUCACCGUGCAUGACCUGGUUGCAAAUCCGCUGCACCUGGCCUUAUUGCAAAUCCGCUGCACCGGGCCUUACUGCAAUUCCCUCCAGAGCAGGCUGCGCGCCUGCGCUGGGAAACACAUGUGACCUUUAGGGUCAAUGGGCGGUGCAAACUCAAAGUUAAACUUAACCCAGCUGUCCUCCAUCGCACUCACGCACGGCCUGGAGACGCGCUGGAGGUCCAGCUGAAUGUUCAGUCUGCACAACCUCUGCUGCCAGGUCAGCAUCUCCUGCAAAGUGCACCUCGUCGACGAGCUCCCACAGCCUGCCAUCAUCAACAGCUGCUGCAAGUUCUCCACCGAUAGCUGUGUUCAGGAUGCACGGGCGCUCUUACUGACCAGCGGGGCCAGGCACUGCCACAGUAAGGUCAACGGCUUCCAAAGGUUUACCAGACUGAAGCUGGGAGAAAGAUUUAGGAGUUAUCACCUUAGAGAUGCUAUGUAUCUCUGAUCUCCGAGAAAUCACCAUGAGACCUUCCAAGAUGUGAGUUUUCUAGAGAAGAUAAGAAGUCAAAGGGCUGAACCCUUGAGUAAUUGUGAAGAUGAUCAGCUUGUCUGUUGGAAAUCUGUGGCAGUCACAUUUUAAAAGUUGUCUCCUGGAGCUUCGACAUUGCCUCUCUGGUUCCUGGGCUCUUUUUCUCCUCCCACAUAGCUGCAGUUCUGUAUAAGUGGAAUUAUGCUCACUCCCAUCCCCUGUUUCACUCUGGACCCUGCUGCCCUACGGUAUCAGCCUUUACUACUUCUGAAAAUGUUGUUAUUCCAGUAUCAGUAGUGACCACUGUAUUUGUCUGGUCAGGGUUAUGAAAGCCUUAAAAAAUGCCACAGACAGGGUGGCUCAAACAAUGGAAAUUUAUUUCUCACAGUUUUGGAGGCUGAAAGUCCAAGAU